GGGGGGAAGGUGACAUGGGUUGCUCAGUGUUGGGUGGCAGUUCCCAUUGGGUGGGGAUUUGGAGAAGAAUGCGCCUGUCCCCGGAUGAGAUCAGAGGCUUUGUUCUGUUUGGUCUGCGACCAUGUGGUCUCAAGAAGUCAAUGGACUGUGAGGUCAAAGUUCUAGAACAUGCUCUGCGUCUGAUCUUUCCUGUGACUCUGGGUAAGACGGUUUACGUCUGCUUUGCCCAUCUGUGCAAUUAAUUAUCCAGAGUUUCCAGGAGUGCCUCUGAUGAGCCCAGGACCAUGUAGAUCCAAGGGCCCCAGACAAACAGGAUGCAUUCCUGACCCCUGCGAAUCCCUCCGAUGAGAAGAGGGGCAGACAGAUACAGAAGCAGUGGAGAAUCACCAAACAAGGAGGUUCUGCUUCCUGGACCCUUCUGCUGACCAACGAAACCAGCCUUGAGCAAUUCCUUGGUGUGUGACCCAACCCAAGCUGUCCGGCUUCCCUAGGACAGCUCUCCCCCACCCGCCUUCUGCCCAGAUCUCUUCUGGAACCCGGGCCGCAUUCACCGCCCACACAGGCCAGUUUAACCACUCCUGUCAGAUGCUGGAGCACACCCCUAAGAAGCCUCUCCCCACCACCCCCGGUCCCGGCUGUUGAGUCUGUGAAACCUGGAAGGAAGGGAAGCAAGAAAAGGAGGUCGUGGUCUGACAGAAAUGC